rnacentral:sRNA from 1 species
GCCAGGCAUGGUGGCUCACGCCUGUAAUCCCACCAGCCUGGGAGGUCGAGGCAGGAGGAUUGCAAGUUCAAAGCCAGCCUCAGCAACUUAGAGAGGCCCUAAACAACUUAGCAAGACUCUGUCUCAA